rnacentral:lncRNA from 1 species
UUUCUAAAUUCUGAUAAUUGUGUAAAUGAAAACUUUUUCUUUUCAGAUAAUGUGGAUGCAGGUGAUCUUAAGCAGUUUUUUGAGACCAACUAUUCACAGAUAUAUUUCAUCUUCUAUGAAAAUUUUAUAACACUGGAAAAUAGUUUAAAAUUAAAAGGGAAUAAUAAGUCACAAAGGGAGGAGCUGGACUCCAUCCUCUUUCUUUUUGAAAAAAUACUGCAGUUUCUACCUGAGCGAAUUUUCUUUCGAUGGCAUUACCAGAGUAUAGGCUCAACUUUAAAGAAGCUUCUACACACUGGAAAUUCUAUUAAGGUGUGUAUAGAGCUGCAUCAUUUUUGCUUGAUGGCUGAAUAAUAUGUAUUCAACAUUACCCCUCAUUUUACCUGCUAGAGGAAAGGAGGAAUAAUAUGGAAACACAUGGAGGUUUGAGCAGAGCAGUGGUGGAGUCCAGGGGUAUGUUUGGAAGUAUGCUGUAAAUCCCCUCAGUUAAUGUGGUAGUACUGUUGCCAGCUAGGGUAUCUGUCUUGGUGUAUUUUGACUUCUCUUGGAAAUUGGUGAAUCUUUCUCUCUCCUCUCUUCUCUCUUUUUU